CGUUAAUCGGAAUUACUGGGCGUAAAGCGUGCGCAGGCGGUUUUGUAAGUCUGACGUGAAAUCCCCGGGCUCAACCUGGGAAUUGCGUUGGAGACUGCAAGGCUAGAAUCUGGCAGAGGGGGGUAGAAUUCCACGUGUGAGCAGUGAAAUGCGUAGAGAUGUGGAGGAACACCGAUGGCGAAGGCAGCCCCCUGGGUCAAGAUUGACGCUCAUGCACGAAAGCGUGGGGAGCAAACAGGAUUAGAAACCCGGAGUCGAGACCAAGAUCCAUCC
rnacentral:rRNA from 1 species